GACGAACGCUGGCGGCGUGCUUAACACAUGCAAGUCGAACGGAAAGGCCCUGCUUUUGUGGCGUGCUCGAGUGGCGAACGCGGGAGUAACACGUGAGUAACCUGCCCUUGACUUUGGGAUAACUUAAGGAAACUGGGGUUAAUACCGGACAGGAUCUCCUGCUGCAUGGUGGGGGUGGGAAAGUUUCGGCGGUUGGGGAUGGACGCGCGGCUAAUCAGCUUGUUGGUGGGGUAGUGGCUUACCAAGGCUUUGACGGGUAGCCGGCAUGGGAGGGUGACCGGCCACAAUACGACUGCGAGAGGGCCCAGAGGCGAACGGUGGACAGGGGUGGCAAUCAUGGCCCAGUCGGACGGAGUCGGAUGCAAGGUCCUCGGGUGGGGAAAGCCUGUUUGUGGGUAAUAAACCGCUUCAGCUUGUGACGCCGCGGGAGUGACGGUAACGAGAAAAGAAGCACCGGCUAACUACGUG
rnacentral:rRNA from 1 species